CUACGGGAGGCACCAGUGGGGAAUAUUGCACAAUGGGCGCAAGCCUGAUGCAGCAACGCCGCGUGGGGGACGACGGCCUUCGGGUUGUAAACCUCUUUUAGUAGGGAAGAAGCGCAAGUGACGGUACCUACAGAAAAAGCACCGGCUAACUACGUGCCAGCAGCCGCGGUAAUACGUAGGGUGCAAGCGUUGUCCGGAAUUAUUGGGCGUAAAGAGCUCGUAGGCGGUUUGUCGCGUCUGCUGUGAAAAUCCGAGGCUCAACCUCGGACCUGCAGUGGGUACGGGCAAACUAGAGUGCGGUAGGGGAGAUUGGAAUUCCUGGUGUAGCGGUGGAAUGCGCAGAUAUCAGGAGGAACACCAAUGGCGAAGGCAGAUCUCUGGGCCGUAACUGACGCUGAGGAGCGAAAGCGUGGGGAGCGAACAGGAUUAGAUACCCGGGUAGUC
rnacentral:rRNA from 1 species